rnacentral:tRNA from 1 species
GCCCCUGUAGCUCAAUUGGUAGAGCAGCUGACUCUUAAUCAGUUGGUUGUAGGUUCGAGUCCUACCGGGGGCA